UGCUAAUAUAAAUUUAGUACCUGGCAUCAUUGUUUUUCUUGGCUUUGUGCAUGUUAGGCUGGUAUUUUUACUGACACAGUA
rnacentral:snoRNA from 1 species